UGUUGUUUGUUAUAAGAUUGAGGACACUAACAAAAAGGAUGGUAGUAAAGGGAAACGUCUCAAUCUUAAGCUUCAAGAUCUCGAAGAUGUUCAGAUCGAUUUAACUCUUUGGGAUGAUUACGCUAAGAACAUGUAUUCUUACAUGGUUAGUAAAAAUCGUGAAGCACAUGUUGUCGUUGCUGUCCAUUUUGGUGUUGUUAAGACAUACAAAGGUAAAUGGGGGAUUUCUAAUAAUUUUGAUGGUUCACGGCUUUUCAUUAACGACAAUUUUGAUGAGAUGCUAUCGUUCAAGGAAAAGU